rnacentral:rRNA from 1 species
UACACGCUGUGACUAGCAUAUCAAUAAGCGGAGGAAAAGAAACUAACAAGGAUUCCCCUAGUAACGGCGAGUGAAGCGGGAAGAGCUCAAAUUUGAAAUCUUAAAGGGUUUCCCUUUACGAAUUGUAGUUUAAAGAAGUGUUUUCUGUUGAGGUUUUGGUAAAAGUUCUUUGGAAUAGGACAUCAUAGAGGGUGAGAAUCCCGUAUUUGACCUUUACUUUCAACUUUGUGAUACACUUUCAAAGAGUCGGAUUGUUUGGGAAUGCAGUCCAAAAUGGGUGGUAAAUUUCAUCUAAAGCUAAAUAUUGGCGAGAGACCGAUAGCGAACAAGUACCGUGAGGGAAAGAUGAAAAGAACUUUGAAAAGAGAGUUAAACAGUACGUGAAAUUGUCAAAAGGGAAGCGUUUGACACCAGUGUUGUUUUUCUGAAAAUCAAUUAAAGAACUGUUUAUGCUAAGUUGUUUAGACUUUAUCAGCUAACUGUUUAGUUUUGAGCUUUUCUUUAACGCACUUUUCAGUUAACAAGUCAACAUCAAUUUCUUUUGCUGUAAAAAAGCUUGAGGAAGGUGGCUUGAGAUUCGUCUUAAGUGUUUAUAGCCUCUUGCCUAUGCAGUCGGAGAGAUUGAGGUCUGCAGCGUAGAUCCUUCGGGGCUAAAUGCAUUUGUGCUAAGUUAUAGCAUUUUAUAGACAACUUGUUGACUAUGAUUUGUCUUGUAGCUUACUCGCUCAUGUUAGUUUUACCUACGCUUAGGAUGUUGAUAUGCAUGACUGAUAU